rnacentral:rRNA from 1 species
UACGGAGGGGGCUAGCGUUGUUCGGAAUUACUGGGCGUAAAGCGCACGUAGGCGGAUCAGCCAGUCAGGGGUGAAAUCCCGGGGCUCAACCCCGGAACUGCCCUUGAUACUGCUGGUCUGGAGUUCGAGAGAGGCGAGUGGAAUUCCGAGUGUAGAGGUGAAAUUCGUAGAUAUUCGGAGGAACACCAGUGGCGAAGGCGGCUCGCUGGCUCGACACUGACGCUGAGGUGCGAAAGCGUGGGGAGCAAACAGGAUUAGAUACCCGUGUAGU